rnacentral:rRNA from 1 species
UACGGGGGGGGCAAGCGUUGUUCGGAAUUACUGGGCGUAAAGGGCUGGUAGGCGGCCAACUAAGUCGGGUGUGAAAGCCCCGGGCUCAACCUGGGAAUUGCAUUCGAGACUGCGUAGCUAGGGUGCGGAAGAGGGAAGCGGAAUUUCCGGUGUAGCGGUGAAAUGCGUAGAUAUCGGAAGGAACACCAGUGGCGAAAGCGGCUUCCUGGUCCAGCACCGACGUUCAGGCACGAAAGCGUGGGGAGCAAACAGG